rnacentral:rRNA from 1 species
CAGCCGCCACGGUAAUACGAGGGGGGCAAGCGUUGUUCGGAAUUAUUGGGCGAAAAGGGUGCGUAGGCGGUUUGACAAGUCUUAUGUGAAAUCUCUGGGCUCAACCCAGAGUCUGCAUGGGAAACUGUCGGGCUUGAGUAUGGGAGAGGUGAGUGGAAUUUCCGGUGUAGCGGUGAAAUGCGUAGAUAUCGGAAGGAACACCUGUGGCGAAAGCGGCUCACUGGACCAUAACUGACGCUGAGGCACGAAAGCUAGGGGAGCAAACAGGAUUAGAUACCCCGGUAGUCCCUGUCUCUUAUAC